GUCAAAUACUGAUUGGCCAGUUUGGAAAAAAAAAAAAAAGAAAAAAAAAGAACUAGAUAGAUGCUAACACGCGGAACUUGUUUUUAAAUCAUGUAACUUUCACCUGUUUGAGUAGCUUUAUCCAAUCAACAUAGACAUUGAGGAGAAUAUUGAAACUCUGGGAAGGACAGGAAAAUAACCUCCCAGUGACUCUACGACAACGGUCUACAAUUUCUGCUCUUCUGAUCUAUUCUUGCUUUAGCGUGCUCUACUAAGGUGCUCGGUCAAUUUCAUUAGUUUGUGUAUGUUAGGUUUGUAAUCCAAAUUCAAUUGAAUUUUUUUUUUUUUUUUGAAAAAAAUAUUGUUUUCUUUGUUCCACAUUUUUUUAUUGGAAAAAUAUUAUUUUCCUUAUUUCACUCUUUUUUUUUUUAUACACUAUUUCAAUUUUUAAGAAUAUUGUUAGGGUUUUGAUAUGUCCCCUCUAUAUAGUUGACUCUUAUUUAUAAUUUGAUUUACAACAGGAGUUAGAAUAAUUAUCGGAAACACAAUUGUUGUAAUUCUUUCUUCAUUAUAGCUGAAUAAAAUCUUCAGUUCCUCUGCUAAGUUAAAUUUCUGUUUUUGUGUUUAUCUUUUUUGUUAUGAUCAAUACUUAAUAUUGUGUUGUAUAAUCUCGUUCCGUCCCCAAAAAAGUGCUACGUGGUCUUUAAUUUGAUUUAUUUGAGGUUUUUUUGUACUAGAUGGCAAUCAUGAUGUAUGACAUUUCGCUUUUAGAUCGCGACAAUAGAUUUUCGUUCGGUUGGUGAAGAUGGGAGCAGUACUCGCUCAAAUGAACUUGGAUGAUGUGUUGUUGAAAUUUGACAAUAUGCCCAUAACUUGAUCGACAGAGAGAAAUAACAUAAGAAUCGGAAGACACUUUCACAAAUUUAUCGUCAUCUUUCGAAUAACAUUUUCUAGGAUGUUUUUAAAAGAGAAAAUGACAGCUGCGUUGUGGUUGGAGUUGGAGCAAUUAUGCAUGACUAAGAGUCUAACUGGCAAAUUACACAUGAAGCAGCGUUUGUAUUUUUAUCGCAUGACAGAAAGCAGAUCGUUGAAAGAUUACCUGACUGUUUUUAAGGAGAUCGUCGCUGAUUUGAAAGCUUUAGAGAUAACGUAUGAUAAAGAAUAUUCGACUUUAAUUUUCUGUGUUCAUUUCCCACUUCGUUUACUUCUUUUAGACACACUUUUAUAUACUCACUAUAUUCUCAUUAUUGAAGAUUCAUAUGAAGCUUUGUUUCAAAUGAGAAGAUGAAGCAUCUAGUUAGAUUUAAGGCUUGGGAUGGAGAAGGCCUUGUUGUUCAUAGUGGUCACGGAAGAGACAUGUCGAAAUCUAAUUUCAGUAAUCAAGUUUAUUUUUAUUGCAAGAAGAAAUGGCACAUCAAGAAGGAUUGCAACAUGCUGGCUACAAAAUUAGAAGGGAAAGCAAUUAGAAACUAUAGGUGAAGCUAGUGUUGAGGAGAACUACUCGAGAGAUGGAGAUGUGUUGGCUAUUUUUGACGAAAAGUCCCAACCUGACGAAGAUUAGAUUUUGGAUAUAGCUUGUGCCUUUUCAUAUAUGUCCCUAUUGAGAUUUAUUUUCAAUUUAAGAAAUAGUUUCAACAAUUGUCAUGGUUUAGAAACAAUGUACCUUGUCUAGUAGCCCGUAUUGGUAGAAUUAGACUUAAGCUAGGGGAUAAGACAGUUAGAAUACUUGAUCAGGUACGACGUGUUUCAAAUUUGAAGAAAAAUCUCAUCUUGUUAAGCAUUCUUGAGUUUAAAGGGUACAAAUUCUUUGGUGGAGGAAAAGUUUGGAGCGUUUGCAAAGGUGUUCAUGUUGUAUUGGAGGGACAGAAAAAGUCUCAGUUGUAUUCUUGCAAGGUUGCACAGAAUGCUUGAAUAACAAUCAGCAAAGGUUUAUUAUCAUGGUGGAUAUUCAGUUUAGUACAAUACCAUUGAGAUUUAAUUUGGGGUCCAUGUUAAAGAAUACAACCCACUCAAGUUCAAGGAUAUGGGUAAUGUUGCUUUACCACUACCCGUGGUGCCAUCGUAUUUUUUAUUAGGGACUGACCCAAUGAAGAUAGGUAGGUAAGUCGAUACUGAUUUUUUGCACAUGCUUUAAGUGUAUUUGAAGGUGUUGAAUCUAAUAAAGGGCCUUCUACAAAAGUAUUUUGUGUUGAUUCUAUUUCAGGCUGUGUUUCGAUUUUGUUUGGUAAAUUUUAAAUCAUUUGUGAUUUUUGGUUGAACCCGAGGUGAUUAUGAGGAACAGUGUUUGAAUUAAUUUAUCCUAGUUGGAUAUCCUGGUAAAGGUGGAGAAUUUAUUAUUCAUUGGAGAAGUUACUGUUGUUCGUGUUGAAGAGUUCAGUUCUUUCCUUGCAAUUGAAUUCUCUCUUCAGUUAAGAAAUUUUGGAGUUUCAUUCAUUGCAGUGGAAAUCGUGAAAAUGAGAAGAUUGUUGGGGGUUGUGAUCCAAAUUCAAUUGUUUUUUUUCUAAAAAAAAUAUUGUUUCC
rnacentral:lncRNA from 1 species